UACGUAGGGGGCUAGCGUUGUUCGGAAUUACUGGGCGUAAAGGGCGCGUAGGCGGCCUUCUAAGUCGAACGUGAAAUCCCUGGGCUCAACCCAGGAACUGCGUCCGAUACUGGAAGGCUUGAAUCCGGGAGAGGGAUGCGGAAUUCCAGGUGUAGCGGUGAAAUGCGUAGAUAUCUGGAGGAACACCGGUGGCGAAGGCGGCAUCCUGGACCGGCAUUGACGCUGAGGCGCGAAAGCCAGGGGAGCAAACGGG
rnacentral:rRNA from 1 species